UGAUCCUCUGUAUGACUCUGCUCUUGUCGCAGGAUGCCUAAGGGUUUGUUUGGGCUCUUUUUACUGGCUUCUGUGGCUUCUACUGCCUAGAAGCUGGAGCCCAAAUCCGGAGCGCUCCAGGAAAAGGGUCCAAAAGCCGCAGCUCACCGUUCCCCGUCGCCGCUGCCGCCGCCGGUCCCUACCUCGACCCCGGCGGCUUGGCCAGCACCGGCCGGCGAAUCGGAGGCGACGCCUACGUAAUCUCCCUUUCCCGGAGCGCCAGGAAGCAGCCGCCGUGUUCGCUGCAUCCUCCACCGACCACUCCCCAUCACCGUACCGCCUCCACCGGCCCCAACCCCGGCCACCGGCCACUCGGAUCGCCAUCCGUCGCCGCAGUAACCUCUUUCCAUAUGUCCUUUGUCCGCUCCCUCCCCUUCUUCCAGCAUGUGCUGCCUGCCUGCUCCGUUUUUGCGUGUGUGAUUGGACGAGUGCUCUGCGUUUAUAUAUGCUAUGCGUGCAUGAUGGUCGUGCUCUGUGCGUGUGCUGCCUGGCUACUAGUAUUUCAUGUAGUACUAGUGAUUAGUGAACUGCUACUAGCUUUUUGACUGCUCGAUUUGGUACUAGCCAAGUGCCAAUGCAUGUUGUUGCAAAUUUGAUUGCUCUCAUUUGAUACAAGCGAACUGCUAGUGUGUGUGUGUGCUAUGGCUAAUUUGACUGCUCACAUUUGGUACUAGUGAAGUGCGAGUGUGUGCUCUGCUUAUAUAAAUUGCAAAUUUGACUACUCCAUUUGGUACUACUGAACUGCUAGUGUGUUCUCUGCUUAUAUAAAUUACGAAUUUGACUGCUUGAAUUGGUAUUUGUGAACUAGUUGAAUCAGUACAAGAAAAUUGUACUAUUGAACUGCUAGUUUGUCAUUUGAGAAUUAAUACUUGGAUGUAUAGAUGGAAGGACCGAAAGUGAAAGCUCAGUGGGAUCGAGAGGCCACCAGAAAUUUCUGUGAGUGUGCCGCAACACAAGUACGGCUUGGAAAUAGGCCAACCCAAGCUUUAACUACUGCUGGCUAUAAGGGUUUAAUUGUAGACUUCAAUGCAAAGACCGGAAGAAAGUAUGUACAGAAGCAAUUCAAGAAUCGUUGGGAUGAUAUGAAAGCUAUAUACUCAGCAUGGGUAUUUUACAAAAACAAAGCAACUGGGCUAGGAUGGGUUGAUGCGAAGCAAACUAUUAUGGCAGACGAUGAUCAAUGGGUUGCAUUGAUCGUGAUUCACAAGCCAAUUAAAGCUUUCCGUCAUGGACCUCUAGACUGCUUGAAUGAGCUAGCGAUCAUGUUUGAAAAGGCUAAUGUUGAUGGACUCUCAUCUCUCAUGCCUGGAGUGGAUAAUGUUUCCUAGAGCGCAGGGGAGCCACCACCGCGUCCACUGCCUCCUCCACCGGCCAAUCCCAUCACCGUAUGUAUGUUCCUUUCACGGAUGCAAUUGGUGAUAGGGCAACCAAGUACUUGACAUGGUUGGUUUCUUUCAAGAUUCAUAUGGCAAGUAGAGCUUUUCGCAAAGGACCUCCAGCGAAUGUAAAGGCGCUUCACAUCAUAAUUGGAGGAGCAAAUGUUGAUGGACCCUCAAUCCUAGUACCACCAAAUCCCAAGCGUAAGGAAGUAAGUGCAAUUACUUACAGUCCAUCGAAGUUGCAGAAAAUUAAUGUGUGGGGCCUCCAAGAUUAGUGAUGAGUAUUACAUGGCUACAGAGUUGAUUUUCUCGACCCUUCAAACCGCAGCUUCUUUUAUGAAAUGAAGAAAAAUGCAAGGAUACUUAAUUGGCUCAAGCGACAUUGCGAGCACUACAAAAAAAUACACUUCCGUGAUGAUACGUGUUUGUCACAGUAGGUCACAUUUUCUGUGAUGCAUGUACAUCCAUGACAAAUUUAUGACAGAAUCAAGAUAGU